GCCCCUGUAGUUCAACGGAUAGAACAAAGACCUUCUAAGUCUGAGGUUACAGGUUCGAAUCCUGUCAGGGGCA
rnacentral:tRNA from 1 species